GUUGUGGACUAUAGAAGUCAUAUGGAGUCGGAUCCUGCAAAGUGAAAACAACUGUAGCAUUAUUAUAUAAUAUAUCAUAUAAUAAAGUGAAGGCUAAAAACUAAACUCACCUUGUGUGUUGAUGUCUUUUGCUUGACACGACGACCUGGUCAAAGCACUAGCUAGCUUCCUAUUCAAAAAAUGACCCCCGUGUUUCAGAAUUGGAUCUGAUAAAGUAAGAUGGUAGCAGAAAAAUUGAAUGGUCAGACAAAGAUAAGAAUAUACCCUGAAGCAAAGGGUCUCUAUGUGAGGGUUUGUGGCAGGCAAAGGGUCUCCUUCACAAGCACGUUGCCACUUUUUGAUGUAAGAUCAUCAGAAUACGGACUCAUGGAGCUUUUUUGUUUGAAACGUCACAGCCGGUUGAAUCUUUUUUCCUCCUUG
rnacentral:lncRNA from 1 species